UUCGGACCUGGCUCAGGGAGGGUUGGCAACGACCCCCCAGAGCCGGAAAGUUGGUCAAACUCGGUCAUUUUAGAGGAAGUAAAAGUCGUAACAAGGUUUCCGGUAGGUGAACCUGCGGAAGGAUCAUUACCGAGU
rnacentral:rRNA from 1 species